AGCGAACGCUGGCGGCAGGCUUAACACAUGCAAGUCGAGCGGGCAUCCUUGUGGUGUCAGCGGCAGACGGGUGAGUAACGCGUGGGAACGUGCCCUUCGGUUCGUAAUAACUCAGGGAAACUUGAGCUAAUACCGGAUACGUGCGAGAGCAGAAAGGUUUAUCUGCCGAAGGAUCGGCCCGCGUCUGAUUAGCUAGUUGGUGAGGUGAUGGCUCACCAAGGCGACGAUCAGUAGCUGGUCUGAGAGGAUGAUCAGCCACACUGGGACUGAGACACGGCCCAGACUCCUACGGGAGGCAGCAGUGGGGAAUAUUGGACAAUGGGGGCAACCCUGAUCCAGCCAUGCCGCGUGAGUGAUGACGGCCUUAGGGUUGUAAAGCUCUUUUCUCCGGGACGAUAAUGACGGUACCGGAGGAAUAAGCCCCGGCUAACUUCGUG
rnacentral:rRNA from 1 species